rnacentral:rRNA from 1 species
UGAACGCUGGCGGCGUGCCUAAUACAUGCAAGUCGAACGAUGAAGCUUUUAGCUUGCUAGAAGUGGAUUAGUGGCGCACGGGUGAGUAAUGCAUAGGUUAUGUGCCCUUUAGUCUAGGAUAGCCACUGGAAACGGUGAUUAAUACUGGAUACUCCCUACGGGGGAAAGUUUUUCGCUAAAGGAUCGGCCUAUGUCCUAUCAGCUUGUUGGUGAGGUAAUGGCUCACCAAGGCUAUGACGGGUAUCCGGCCUGAGAGGGUGAACGGACACACUGGAACUGAGACACGGUCCAGACUCCUACGGGAGGCAGCAGUAGGGAAUAUUGCUCAAUGGGGGAAACCCUGAAGCAGCAACGCCGCGUGGAGGAUGAAGGUUUUAGGAUUGUAAACUCCUUUUGUGAGAGAAGAUUAUGACGGUAUCUCACGAAUAAGCACCGGCUAACUCCGUGCCAGCAGCCGCGGUAAUACGGAGGGCGCAAGCGUUACUCGGAAUCACUGGGCGUAAAGAGUGCGCAGGCGGGUAGUCAAGUCAGAUGUGAAAUCCUAUAGCUUAACUAUAGAACUGCAUUUGAAACUGAUUAUCUAGAGUGUGGGAGAGGUAGGUGGAAUUCUUGGUGUAGGGGUAAAAUCCGUAGAGAUCAAGAGGAAUACUCAUUGCGAAGGCGACCUACUGGAACAUUACUGACGCUCAUGCACGAAAGCGUGGGGAGCAAACAGGAUUAGAUACCCUGGUAGUCCACGCCCUAAACGAUGAAUGCUAGUUGUUGCCCUGCUUGACAGGGCAGUAAUGCAGCUAACGCAUUAAGCAUUCCGCCUGGGGAGUACGGUCGCAAGAUUAAAACUCAAAGGAAUAGACGGGGACCCGCACAAGCGGUGGAGCAUGUGGUUUAAUUCGAAGAUACGCGAAGAACCUUACCUAGGCUUGACAUUGAUAGAAUCCUAUAGAGAUAUGGGAGUGCCCUUUUAGGGAGCUUGAAAACAGGUGCUGCACGGCUGUCGUCAGCUCGUGUCGUGAGAUGUUGGGUUAAGUCCCGCAACGAGCGCAACCCUCGUCCUUAGUUGCUAACUAUUCGGUAGAGCACUCUAAGGAGACUGCCUUCGCAAGGAGGAGGAAGGUGAGGAUGACGUCAAGUCAUCAUGGCCCUUACGCCUAGGGCUACACACGUGCUACAAUGGGAAGCACAAAGAGAUGCAAUAUUGUGAAAUGGAGCAAAUCUAUAAAACUUCUCUCAGUUCGGAUUGUAGUCUGCAACUCGACUACAUGAAGCUGGAAUCGCUAGUAAUCGUAAAUCAGCUAUGUUACGGUGAAUACGUUCCCGGGUCUUGUACUCACCGCCCGUCACACCAUGGGAGUUGUAUUCGCCUUAAGUCGGAAUGCCAAACUGGCUACCGCCCACGGCGG